AUUGAACGCUGGCGGCAGGCCUAACACAUGCAAGUCGAACGGUAACAGGAAGAAGCUUGCUUCUUUGCUGACGAGUGGCGGACGGGUGAGUAAUGUCUGGGAAACUGCCUGAUGGAGGGGGAUAACUACUGGAAACGGUAGCUAAUACCGCAUAACGUCGCAAGACCAAAGAGGGGGACCUUCGGGCCUCUUGCCAUCGGAUGUGCCCAGAUGGGAUUAGCUAGUAGGUGGGGUAACGGCUCACCUAGGCGACGAUCCCUAGCUGGUCUGAGAGGAUGACCAGCCACACUGGAACUGAGACACGGUCCAGACUCCUACGGGAGGCAGCAGUGGGGAAUAUUGCACAAUGGGCGCAAGCCUGAUGCAGCCAUGCCGCGUGUAUGAAGAGGCCUGGUUGUAAGUACUU
rnacentral:rRNA from 1 species